rnacentral:rRNA from 1 species
CAUCACUACGCUAGAUGCAUAUCAAUAAGCGGAGGAAAAGAAACUAACAAGGAUUCCCCUAGUAACGGCGAGUGAAGCGGGAAGAGCUCAAAUUUGAAAUCUUAAAGGGUUUCCCUUUACGAAUUGUAGUUUAAAGAAGUGUUUUCUGUUGGAGUUUCGGUAAAAGUUCUUUGGAAUAGGACAUCAUAGAGGGUGAGAAUCCCGUAUUUGACCGUUACUUUCCAGCUGUGUGAUACACUUUCAAAGAGUCGGAUUGUUUGGGAAUGCAGUCCAAAAUGGGUGGUAAAUUUCAUCUAAAGCUAAAUAUUGGCGAGAGACCGAUAGCGAACAAGUACCGUGAGGGAAAGAUGAAAAGAACUUUGAAAAGAGAGUUAAACAGUACGUGAAAUUGUCAAAAGGGAAGCGUUUGACACCAGUGUUGUUUAGUUGAAAAUCAAUUAAAUAAUUUUUGAUUUUAAGUAGUAUUGACUUCAUCAGCUUGCUGCUUUCUUUUCAGGAAAUUAUUGAAUGCACUUUUCAGUUAACAAGUCAACAUCAAUUUCUUUUGUUGUAAAAGGGUAAGAGGAAGGUGGCUUACGCUUCGGCGUCAAGUGUUUAUAGCCUUUGACCUCUGCAAUCGGAGAGAUUGAGGUCUGCAGCGUAGAUCCUUCGGGGUUAGAUGCAUUUGUGCUAAGCUAUAGCCUUGUAUAGACAACUUGUUGACUAUGCUCAGUCAUGUAGCUUACUCGCUUAUGCUAUUUUACCUACGCUUAGGAUGUUGACACACGCGCGUGCUCG